rnacentral:rRNA from 1 species
CUUAGUUCGUGGAGUGAUCUGUCUGCUUAAUUGCGUUUCAAAAUUUAACUUGAGGACCGGGUUUUGGUUUGGCUAGUGGUUCUACGAUGACUGUGAACUGUCAUGUCUUCGGAUGUGCGACUAUUGGUCUAGGAUCACAUGACUUGCCCCUGGGACUCUUUUGAACGCAACGGACGUGAUUGCAACCCCUUGUUGAGAUUAGAGAUAGUCUCGAUAUUCACUGGACAAACUGGCUGCUUUAUGCAGUCUUGUUGAAUGGUGGAUAAACUCGGGGGACUGCUGACUAUAACCAUUUCUCAAAACAGAGGAAGGUUGCGGCAAUAACAGGUCUGUGAUGCCCUCAGAUGUCCCGGGCUGCACACGUGCUACAAUGAGUGGCGCAAUGUGCUAAUGUUUAAGGGAU